ensembl:lncRNA
CACGGAUACCCUUUAAGAGCAGCAAUAAACAAGAGUCAAUGUAGCCUUAAACAUUUUUAUUGGUUAACUUUUUGCAGUAAGAAUCUCAGUUUCAGACUCGCUGUGCUUCCCCUGUCUGAGCGUCAGAUCUGAGAUCAGUCAGAAAACACAGCGAUCUACAACUUAAACAUAAAAAUAAAAACCAUCUCUGAGACUCUGAGAAACCCCAACGGACCAAACCUCGUUACAAAUCAGAGCGAGUUACAGAGUGUCCUGCUUCAGGAAGCUCUCAGACUGAACUGAGCAAACAGAUCAUCAUUUUUAAACUCUUAAAUGUUACAGGUCUUUGACUUUGUAAUAAUCCCAUGAAAAGAACAUCACACUCUGGUUCAAAUUACAGUUACAAACCCCCCCCCCCAAACCUAUCUAACAUUCAUUUCCACUGUAAUCAGGACCGAAGUGCAAAAAAUUAUCUUUUCUGAAACUUAUUAGUAAACUUCACUGAAAUUACAGUCUAAGGAACUUUUUUUGGUAUUUAUCACAUCUUUAAAGGCUUUUUACACAUUUCCCACUGUGUUCGUGUCAUGCCAAAAAAGUUCCUCUAAAAGCUCUGAUACAUUAAACAAUCUCCUGAAAACCAAACAUAAGAACACUAACUACCACUGAAAGUCUGUUUUAAUGGUUACUCAGUGGCUAUGAUGUCUGCAGGCGCCCGAAUCUGCAAUCCUGCCAUCGGUCCAGCAUGACACGAAGAAACGAUGCAUAAAAGCUUCGCUGUGCAUCAAACAAGCACACCAAAGCCUUCGAUCGCUUCAGUUUGGUUCAUCAAAGCUAACAAAAAGUCCAGGUCCUUUUCUCGGGUGUGGAUCUACUCAGCUCCCAGCCUCAGUCCUUUGAGACGUCACAGUGUUCAGAAUCAAACUCGCACAAUCUUCUCCUGCCAGUUUGUAAAAAUAAAGAUGGCGUAACAGCAGCAGGAUUAGAAAAUUUUCACCUCCUGAUAGCUCUGACAGUCCAAUGAACACGGAGUCCACGACGGUCACUGAUGGCUUUAGUCAAAGUGUUUGAGGAUAUCCAGUCUCUCUGAAGCUAAAAGUGCAGCUUGUACCCCCCUCUCAUGCAUUUUACAUGGCAUCACAAGCAGUUUAAUUUUUUUUGUAAGAGUAACUGUGUAAUUACAGGGAAGUGCUUUGAGAUUCAAUCGAUAUCCAGAAUUUAAGAAUAACUCCAUGGAGGGAACUGCUCGGACUUUACUGAAAGUUAGGGUGUGUUUAAGUGUAAAUCUUAUGAGCAGAAAAAGAUUCAGUGUUAUGAGAAUCAAGCCAUAAUGUAAUGAGAAUAGAAAUGUGCUGGCCACUUGAGGCUGUCUCCAAACACGAGCCAAUCCCCAUAGAGUCAUAUGGUUAAAUGGAUGACUUUACAACAAAUAAAAACAUGUUUUGGUCUGUAAUGGAUAGUUUUCCACUUUGUAUCGACUUUAUAAGCAGUGGGUUUUGAUAGAACUGAUAGUUUUGGAGAUUGUUAGGCAUACAGUUAGAGUGGGAAGGUACGGAAACAAAGCCAGGUGUAACCAAUCGCUGCCUGCUAGGCCUCACUUGUGCUAAUCUGAGACUCUGAAGUGGCCCUAGCCGCUCUAUAUACAGCUUUUGGAUGACUAACAUUAAAGUUUUGGUGAAUGGAAUUUGGCAGUAAAUCAAUGAACUAGCUUAACAGAGUUUCCUGACAGAGAGCGCUGUUCAAUGUUUAGCAGCAUCUCAUCUUCUGCUACUAAAAGUUCAAAAUACUAUAAAGAGAAUAUUUUGGUUUUAAUGUGAAAACUUGUGACCGAGUGCAAAACCUUAAAGCACCAUCAACUAACAAAUAAUCAAAACAAAAUAACUUUAUUCUCAUAACGUUUAUUUUCUGUUGCUAUAUUUGACUUUACUAACAUAAUAUUUCAAUAUCAUGUGAAAUAAUUACUUUAAUCUUCAAACUAAAAGAGCAAAAGGCCCAGUGUUUUUACUUUUUUAUUCUCUAGGUCAUUGUACUUCAUCCUGUUGCUGUUCUUGUGAUUUGAGCCAAAUUUGUUAUUUUCCUUUUUAAAUCUGAAUUUUCUUUAAUUUGCUAUGAGUUACAAUGAAAGGAAGAAUUUGUUGAUUUUCAGUCAUAAUUAAUCAGCUGUGGGUGUUUUGCUGUUAGUCACAUUGGAGCAGUUUUUGUGUUCUUGGGCUCAAACUGAAACAUAACAUUUAUAGUAAAGCUCUUAUUACUUUCCCUCUACAGUUACUAACCAUGCCAGGGAAGAGGGCGGGGACUCUGUGCUGCUCUCUGAUUGGAGGAGGGGCCUGCAGUCUUAAGGAGCUGACAGAUCUGAUCGUCCGACCUCCGAGUGUCCCUUCAGCAAUCCGAGCCUCACAACCACCACCCUCUUCUUUUUCUGCUCCGAGUCCUCAUCAUCAUCAUCGUCGUCGUCAUCCUCCUCCUGCUGCUCCUUCGCCUUUCGUUUCACUCUCUCCUUCCUCUUCUCCUCCUUCCUCUGCUUUUUCGCCCUCUUCUUUCUCUUCUUUUCUUCUUUUUCCUCCUCUGCACGAUCCUCCUCAACCUCUUCCUCCUCUUGCAUCCCGUCCUGCACUUCCUCUUCAACUACCUCCUCUUCUACUGCCAUCACCAUUUCCUCCUCUUCCUCCUCCUCUUCAUUGUCAUCAUCUUCCUCCUCCUCAUCUUUCUCUUCUUCAUCUUCCUCUUCAUCUGUCAUCACUUCUCCCAUCUGUUCUUUCAGUUGCUCUUCUUUAGCGUUCAUCCCGGCGUCUCCAUCCUGUGUCGAUCGAUAGAAACAGUCAAAAACAGCGCCCGUGUGGUCAAAAAUAUCACUUUAAGAGUUUAAAGUAUGUUUACAGCUAGCUGGUUGAAUUUCAUGUUAAAUGACCAAUCUAACAUUUUUCUAAAUGUAAACAAAUCACAUAUAAAGCUUGGAUUCCCUCGCCCCCACACAGCAAUCAUCAUGAAGUCCAUUCAUUUGUGCUGAGCAAAGAUCUUUGACUGUUUUGUUUAAUCUUCCCCACAGCCACUGAAUAGUCAUGGC